UAAUUAAUGUUUUGACAAAAUUUAAUUAUUUUUUCAGACAAUUUCAUUAUUUUUUUAAUGAUAAUGCAGAUCUUUUAAAAAAAAAAAUAUUGCAUUGACUACUGUCUUUUGAUUUGUCAAAAUGUUUGUGGAAUUUCACAAGACACAGGGUUCCAAGGGACUCCUUAUGAUUUUAUAUCAUUGACAAUAUUUGUUAGCAAAUUACCCCAUGCCACAUGUACAGAAAACACAUUUCCGAUUGUUCUUUAAUAUUACAAAUGUGAAAUGGGUAGCAAUAAUGUUACAAAUGUGAAAUAAGUAGCAAUAAUCUAAAACUGGCUAUUAAGAUCAGGGAUGGGGUAAUCGUAAUCUGUAAUUUUAAUUGUUUAAAUUUUUUCCAGUAAUUAAAGACAUUUUCGAUAACAUGAUAACAUGUAAUCGUAAUUUGAUGGAUAAUAGCCAAAAAUUAUGAUGUAAUCAUCGAUUACUUAAGACAAUCACAUUUCGAUUACUUUAGUAAAAUAGUAUGAUGAAAUAUAUUAAUCUAUUUUUGUUGAGCAGUCUGUGAAAAAUUUAAAUUGAUUGUCAAUUUGUGUGACAGAUAGUGAAAUUAGGCCAAAGAUUGAUUGUAAUUGAAUAGGAAAAAAAGGAUAAUUUUUUUACGACCGCAAAAAAGUUUGUGUCCGUAUAUGUAGCAUGUCGUCUUUUUUUUUGAAAGAAGGGGGAGGGGAAAAUUUUUUCUCAUUUUCUCAUUUCAGAUUCGAUUUUUUUUUGGUGGGCAUGGGGGGUCAAUUCACAACAGCAUAGUGUAUUGUACAAUAGCAAAAAAUUGAAUAUAAAUUCAAAUCAUAUAACUAAAUCUAAGUUCUUUGAUAACAGUUAUUCUAAGUC
rnacentral:lncRNA from 1 species